GUUCGGAACAACACAGGGAAACUUGUGCUAAUACCGGAUAAGCCCUUACGGGGAAAGAUUUAUCGCCGAAAGAUCGGCCCGCGUCUGAUUAGCUAGUUGGUGAGGUAAUGGCUCACCAAGGCGACGAUCAGUAGCUGGUCUGAGAGGAUGAUCAGCCACAUUGGGACUGAGACACGGCCCAAACUCCUACGGGAGGCAGCAGUGGGGAAUAUUGGACAAUGGGCGCAAGCCUGAUCCAGCCAUGCCGCGUGAGUGAUGAAGGCCCUAGGGUUGUAAAGCUCUUUUGUGCGGGAAGAUAAUGACGGUACCGCAAGAAUAAGCCCCGGCUAACUUCGUGCCAGCAGCCGCGGUAAUACGAAGGGGGCUAGCGUUGCUCGGAAUCACUGGGCGUAAAGGGUGCGUAGGCGGGUCUUUAAGUCAGGGGUGAAAUCCUGGAGCUCAACUCCAGAACUGCCUUUGAUACUGAGGAUCUUGAGUUCGGGAGAGGUGAGUGGAACUGCGAGUGUAGAGGUGAAAUUCGUAGAUAUUCGCAAGAACACCAGUGGCGAAGGCGGCUCACUGGCCCGAUACUGACGC
rnacentral:rRNA from 1 species